rnacentral:rRNA from 1 species
AGAGUUUGAUCCUGGCUCAGAUUGAACGCUGGCGGCAGGCCUAACACAUGCAAGUCGAGCGGAAACGAUGGGAGCUUGCUCCCAGGCGUCGAGCGGCGGACGGGUGAGUAACACGUGGGAAUCUGCCCAUUAGUGGGGGAUAACUCGGGGAAACUCGAGCUAAUACCGCAUAAUCCCUACGGGGGAAAGCAGGGGAUCUUCGGACCUUGCGCUGAUGGAUGAGCCCGCGUCGGAUUAGCUUGUUGGUGGGGUAAUGGCCCACCAAGGCGACGAUCCGUAACUGGUCUGAGAGGAUGGCCAGUCACACCGGGACUGAGACACGGCCCGGACUCCUACGGGAGGCAGCAGUGGGGAAUCUUGGACAAUGGGCGCAAGCCUGAUCCAGCCAUGCCGCGUGUGUGAAGAAGGCCUUCGGGUUGUAAAGCACUUUCAGUAGGGAGGAAGGCUUUGGGCUAAUACCCUGGAGUACUUGACGUUACCUGCAGAAGAAGCACCGGCUAAUUUCGUGCCAGCAGCCGCGGUAAUACGAAAGGUGCGAGCGUUAUUCGGAAUUACUGGGCGUAAAGCGCUCGUAGGCGGUUUGUUAAGUCGGAUGUGAAAGCCCGGGGCUCAACCUUGGAAUUGCAUCCGAUACUGGCAGGCUAGAGUGCAGCAGAGGAAAGUGGAAUUUCCGGUGUAGCGGUGAAAUGCGCAGAGAUCAGAAGGAACACCAGUGGCGAAGGCGGCUUCCUGGACUGACACUGACGCUGAGAGCGA